rnacentral:rRNA from 1 species
UACGUAGGGGGCAAGCGUUGUCCGGAAUACUGGGCGUAAAGUGUGCGCAGGCGGCAGAGCAAGUCGAGUGUGAAAUCCCCGGGCUCAACCUGGGAACUGCAUUUGUGACUGCAUAGCUAGAGUGCGGCAGAGGGAGAUGGAAUUCCGCGUGUAGCAGUGAAAUGCGUAGAUAUGCGGAGGAACACCGAUGGCGAAGGCAAUCUCCUGGGCCUGCACUGACGCUCAUGCACGAAAGCGUGGGGAGCAAACAGG